ACGAAGUCGGGUUUCGGUGUGAAGGCAGUUUCGACUGAAAGAGCAAUUACUACAUACAGACACAGCUAUUUAGGAAAAAAAGUUAAGAAAAUGAAAAGAGUGACAGUGCUUCUCGUUUUUGCAUUUCUUUUUUCAAUUGUUUUCGUGAAAGAAAUUGAAUGUUUUGCGGCUGGUGGUGGUGCUUUUGGAAGGAAAAGAAUGUUCACAAAUGAGCAAUUCACAGCCAGAAACGGUUUAAUUCAUGUGUGUGAAACAGUCGGAGGAUUUUGCAAAAAGUACGCAAGAGAGAGGCGAAUGAAGAACUUCUGAAAUCAGAACAACACCAUAUAUAUAAAUACGUAUAUUGAAAUGAAUUAUAAUUUGUAAUAACAACUAGAUUAUAUAAACGAUAUCAAAUUAACAAAAAAAUUAAGAUUGGAGCAAAAGACUUGCAAGUAUAGUAAAUAAAUGAAACGUAUUAAUUAAAUGUAAAACAUGCA